rnacentral:sRNA from 1 species
UCUCCAGAUUAUUUUAGUGCGAUCUAACGAAGAAGCAGAAGAAGAUCUCACUUAGAUAUCCAAACUCCGAAAGUGAGUAUCUUGCUUGGUUUACUUAUAUGGUAUUGUGAGUACUAAAUAUUAGACGGUGGGCUUCCAACCUACCUGGUAAUAGGUGGAGAGGCUUAUAUCUUAUAUAUACCACUUAAGAUCCGAUCCAAGUAUUGGGUCCGGCCGAUGUGGAUUGGGUUGAGUAUGUGCGGAUCGGGCUCUGGUACCAUAUUAGAUUGUGGACUUCCAACCUAAAACCAAUUGACAAUAUGUGGAGAGACCCAUAUCUUAUAUAUACCACUUAAGAUCCGAUGUGGGAUAAAAUCGCUAAUACUAAAGAGAUAUCUUUGUGUUUGUUGUUGAUGGUUUUUGUCUUUUGGCGCAUCAAGAUUAGUACUUUU